rnacentral:rRNA from 1 species
GAAUAUUGGUCAAUGGGUGAGAGCCUGAACCAGCCAUGCCGCGUGCAGGAAGACGGCCUUCUGGGUUGUAAACUGCUUUUGCCAGGGGCUAAAAUACUCUUGCGAGAGGAAUUGAAGGUACCUGGUGAAUAAGCCACGGCUAACUACGUGCCAGCAGCCGCGGUAAUACGUAGGUGGCAAGCGUUGUCCGGAUUUAUUGGGUUUAAAGGGUGCGUAGGCGGUCCUGUAAGUCAGUGGUGAAAGACGGCAGCUCAACUGUCGAGGUGCCAUUGAUACUGCUGGACUUGAGUACAGACGAGGUAGGCGGAAUUGACGGUGUAGCGGUGAAAUGCAUAGAUAUCGUCAAGAACACCAAUAGCGAAGGCAGCUUACUAGACUGUAACUGACGCUGAGGCACGAAAGUGUGGGGAUCAAACAGG